UGGGGAAUCUUCCGCAAUGGACGAAAGUCUGACGGAGCAACGCCGCGUGAGUGAUGACGGCCUUCGGGUUGUAACGCUCUGUUCAUCGGGACGAAUGGUUCUUGUGCGAAUAGUGCGAGGAUUUGACGGUACCGGAAUAGAAAGCCACGGCUAACUACGUGCCAGCAGCCGCGGUAAUACGUAGGUGGCAAGCGUUGUCCGGAAAUAUUGGGCGUAAAGCGCGCGCAGGCGUAUUGGUCAGUCUGUCUUAAAAAUUCGGGGCUUAAACCCGUGAUGGGAUGGAAACUGCCAAUCUAGAGUAUAGGAGAGGAAAGUGGAAUUCCUAGUGUAGCGGUGAAAUGCGUAGAUAUUAGGAAGAACACCAGUGGCGAAGGCGACUUUCUGGACGAAAACUGACGCUGAGGCGCGAAAGCCAGGGGAGCGAACGGG
rnacentral:rRNA from 1 species